AUGAGGAAAAGACGUAGAUAUCACCCAAAUGUGUCAUUUACCAGCCUCCUUGUGGGAGUCCAGUACCCCAGCCCCAUCUUGAGAGAUGCUGCUGUUCCAACCUCAGCAUCUCCUAAUGGAGUCAAGAGCUUCUCCCCUCAUCAGAGUAAGAAGUCUGGCCACCAAGCUUGUGAAAUUUUGUGUCUGACAUCUCUAUCCAUGGAAAUAAGUCAACUGGAUUCUUCAAGCUCAAGUUCCAACACCACAGGAAAGAACUCUCAAUAUAAACCAAGUAACUGUGGCCCAAAAAGAGAGAUCAGAGAAGAAAGUGACAGCUUCUAG
rnacentral:lncRNA from 1 species